GACGAACGCUGGCGGCGUGCUUAACACAUGCAAGUCGAACGGAAAGGCCCUGAUUGUGUGGGGUGAUCGAGUGGCGAACGGGUGAGGAACACGUGAGUAACCUGCCCUAGACUUUGGGAUAACUUCAGGAAACGGGGGCUAAUACCGGAUAGGAGCUGAUGCUGCAUGGUGGGGGUGGGAAAGUUUCGGCGGGUGGGGAUGGACGCGCGGCUUAUCAGCUUGUUGGUGGGGGAGGGGCUUACCAAGGCUUGGACGGGUAGCCGGCCGGAGAGGGUGACCGGCCACCUUGGGACUGAGAUACGCCCCAGACUCCUACGGUAGGCAGCAGUGGGGAAUCUUGCACAAUGGGCGGAAGCCUGAUGCAGCAACGCCGCGUGCGGGAUGACGGCCUUCGGGUUGUAAACCGCUUUCGCCUGUGACGCAGCGUGAGUGACGGUACUGGGUAAAGAAGCACCGGCUAACUACGUG
rnacentral:rRNA from 1 species